CCGGUAGCUCAGAGGUAGAGCAAAUGACUCUUAAUCAUUAGGUCGAGGGUUCGAAUCCCUCCCGG
rnacentral:tRNA from 1 species